GUCCUUAGUUACCAGCACGUUAUGUGGGCACUCUAAGGAGACUGCCGGUGACAACCGGAGGAAGGUGGGGAUGACGUCAAGUCAUCAUGGCCCUUACGGCCUGGGCUACACACGUGCUACAAUGGUCGGUACAAAGGGUUGCCAAGCCGCGAGGUGGAGCUAAUCCCAUAAAACCGAAUCGUAGUCCGGAUCGCAGUCUGCAACUCGACUGCGUGAAGUCGGAAUCGCUAGUAAUCGUGAAUCAGAAUGUCACGGUGAAUACGUUCCCGGGCCUU
rnacentral:rRNA from 1 species